rnacentral:rRNA from 1 species
AGAGUUUGAUCAUGGCUCAGGAUGAACGCUGGCGGCAUGCCUAAUACAUGCAAGUCGUGCGGAAAGGCCCCUUCGGGGGUACUCGAGCGGCGGACGGCAGAGUAACGCGUAGGAACAUACCCCAAAGUGAGGGAUAACUGCUCGAAAGAGUAGCUAAUACCGCAUGUGGUCUUCGGACUAAAGCUUCGGCGGUUUGGGAAUGGCCUGCGUUCGAUUAGCUAGUUGGUGAGGUAAUUGCUCACCAAGGCGACGAUCGAUAGCUGGUCUGAGAGGAUGAUCAGCCUGACUGGAACUGAGACACGGUCCAGACUCCUACGGGAGGCAGCAGUAGGGAAUUUUCCACAAUGGGCGAAAGCCUGAUGGAGCAAUACCGCGUGCAGGAUGAAGGCCUUCGGGUCGUAAACUGCUUUUAUGUGAGAAGAAUUUGACGGUAACACAUGAAUAAGGGUCGGCUAACUACGUG